AGAGUUUGAUCCUGGCUCAGGAUGAACGCUAGCUACAGGCUUAACACAUGCAAGUCGAGGGGAGACGAUAUUGGAAGCUUGCUUCCGAUAGGCGUCGACCGGCGCACGGGUGAGUAACGCGUAUCCAACCUGCCCACCACUUGGGGAUAACCUUGCGAAAGUAAGACUAAUACCCAAUGAUAUCUCUAGAAGGCAUCUGAAGGAGAUUAAAGAUUUAUCGGUGAUGGAUGGGGAUGCGUCUGAUUAGCUUGUUGGCGGGGUAACGGCCCACCAAGGCGACGAUCAGUAGGGGUUCUGAGAGGAAGGUCCCCCACAUUGGAACUGAGACACGGUCCAAACUCCUACGGGAGGCAGCAGUGAGGAAUAUUGGUCAAUGGGCGAGAGCCUGAACCAGCCAAGUAGCGUGCAGGAUGACGGCCCUAUGGGUUGUAAACUGCUUUUAUAAGGGAAUAAAGUGAGUCUCGUGAGACUUUUUGCAUGUACCUUAUGAAUAAGGACCGGCUAAUUCCGUGCCAGCAGCCGCGGUAAUACGGAAGGUCCGGGCGUUAUCCGGAUUUAUUGGGUUUAAAGGGAGCGUAGGCCGGAGAUUAAGCGUGUUGUGAAAUGUAGACGCUCAACGUCUGCACUGCAGCGCGAACUGGUUUCCUUGAGUACGCACAAAGUGGGCGGAAUUCGUGGUGUAGCGGUGAAAUGCUUAGAUAUCACGAAGAACUCCGAUUGCGAAGGCAGCUCACUGGAGCGCAACUGACGCUGAAGCUCGAAAGUGCGGGUAUCGAACAGGAUUAGAUACCCUGGUAGUCCGCACGGUAAACGAUGGAUGCCCGCUGUUGGUCUGAAUAGGUCACCGGCCAAACGAAA
rnacentral:rRNA from 1 species